GACGUAGGGCGCGAGCGUUGUCCGGAUUUAUUGGGCGUAAAGAGCUCGUAGGCGGCUUGUUGCGUCGACCGUGAAAACCCGGGGCUCAACUUCGGGCUUGCGGUCGAUACGGGCGGGCUAGAGUUCGGUAGGGGAGACUGGAAUUCCUGGUGUAGCGGUGAAAUGCGCAGAUAUCAGGAGGAACACCGGUGGCGAAGGCGGGUCUCUGGGCCGAUACUGACGCUGAGGCAUGAAAGCGUGGGUAGCAAACAGG
rnacentral:rRNA from 1 species